UUAGCACUUGGCAGGGGAGAUACCAUGAUCACAAAGGUGGUUCACCCAGGGUGAGGUUCAAUCAUUGCACCCCAGUUGUGCUGACCUUUGCAAGUUCCUGACAUGUGGGAAUCUCACCUGCAUACAGUCAUUUCUGGUAGUGGGGGGACUGCGUUCAUGAUCUUCCCUC